GACGAACGCUGGCGGCGUGCUUAACACAUGCAAGUCGAACGGAAAGGCCCUGCUUGCAGGGUACUCGAGUGGCGAACGGGUGAGUAACACGUGGGUGAUCUGCCCUGCACUUCGGGAUAAGCCUGGGAAACUGGGUCUAAUACCGGAUAGGAGCCAUUUUUAGUGUGAUGGUUGGAAAGUUUUUUCGGUGUAGGAUGAGCUCGCGGCCUAUCAGCUUGUUGGUGGGGUAAUGGCCUACCAAGGCGGCGACGGGUAGCCGGCCUGAGAGGGUGGACGGCCACAUUGGGACUGAGAUACGGCUCAGACUCCUACGGGAGGCAGCAGUGGGGAAUAUUGCACAAUGGGCGCAAGCCUGAUGCAGCGACGCCGCGUGGGGGAUGACGGCCUUAGGGUUGUAAACUCCUUUCGCUAGGGACGAAGCUUUUUGUGACGGUACCUAGAUAAGAAGCACCGGCUAACUACGUG
rnacentral:rRNA from 1 species